CCUUUUGUAUAAUGGGUCAGCGACUUAUAUUCUGUAGCAAGGUUAACCGAAUAGGGGAGCCGAAGGGAAACCGAGUCUUAACUGGGCGUUAAGUUGCAGGGUAUAGACCCGAAACCCGGUGAUCUAGCCAUGGGCAGGUUGAAGGUUGGGUAACACUAACUGGAGGACCGAACCGACUAAUGUUGAAAAAUUAGCGGAUGACUUGUGGCUGGGGGUGAAAGGCCAAUCAAACCGGGAGAUAGCUGGUUCUCCCCGAAAGCUAUUUAGGUAGCGCCUCGUGAAUUCAUCUCCGGGGGUAGAGCACUGUUUCGGCAAGGGGGUCAUCCCGACUUACCAACCCGAUGCAAACUGCGAAUACCGGAGAAUGUUAUCACGGGAGACACACGGCGGGUGCUAACGUCCGUCGUGAAGAGGGAAACAACCCAGACCGCCAGCUAAGGUCCCAAAGUCAUGGUUAAGUGGGAAACGAUGUGGGAAGGCCCAGACAGCCAGGAUGUUGGCUUAGAAGCAGCCAUCAUUUAAAGAAAGCGUAAUAGCUCACUGGUCGAGUCGGCCUGCGCGGAAGAUGUAACGGGGCUAAACCAUGCACCGAAGCUGCGGCAGCGACGCUGAUGCGUUGUUGGGUAGGGGAGCGUUCUGUAAGCCUGCGAAGGUGUGCUGUGAGGCAUGCUGGAGGUAUCAGAAGUGCGAAUGCUGACAUAAGUAACGAUAAAGCGGGUGAAAAGCCCGCUCGCCGGAAGACCAAGGGUUCCUGUCCAACGUUAAUCGGGGCAGGGUGAGUCGACCCCUAAGGCGAGGCCGAAAGGCGUAGUCGAUGGGAAACAGGUUAAUAUUCCUGUACUUGGUGUUACUGCGAAGGGGGGACGGAGAAGGCUAUGUUGGCCGGGCGACGGUUGUCCCGGUUUAAGCGUGUAGGCUGGUUUUCCAGGCAAAUCCGGAAAAUCAAGGCUGAGGCGUGAUGACGAGGCACUACGGUGCUGAAGCAACAAAUGCCCUGCUUCCAGGAAAAGCCUCUAAGCAUCAGGUAACAUCAAAUCGUACCCCAAACCGACACAGGUGGUCAGGUAGAGAAUACCAAGGCGCUUGAGAGAACUCGGGUGAAGGAACUAGGCAAAAUGGUGCCGUAACUUCGGGAGAAGGCACGCUGAUAUGUAGGUGAAGUCCCUUGCGGAUGGAGCUGAAAUCAGUCGAAGAUACCAGCUGGCUGCAACUGUUUAUUAAAAACACAGCACUGUGCAAACACGAAAGUGGACGUAUACGGUGUGACGCCUGCCCGGUGCCGGAAGGUUAAUUGAUGGGGUCAGCGCAAGCGAAGCUCUUGAUCGAAGCCCCGGUAAACGGCGGCCGUAACUAUAACGGUCCUAAGGUAGCGAAAUUCCUUGUCGGGUAAGUUCCGACCUGCACGAAUGGCGUAAUGAUGGCCAGGCUGUCUCCACCCGAGACUCAGUGAAAUUGAACUCGCUGUGAAGAUGCAGUGUACCCGCGGCAAGACGGAAAGACCCCGUGAACCUUUACUAUAGCUUGACACUGAACAUUGAGCCUUGAUGUGUAGGAUAGGUGGGAGGCUUGGAAGUGUGGACGCCAGUCUGCAUGGAGCCGACCUUGAAAUACCACCCUUUAAUGUUUGAUGUUCUAACGUUGACCCGUAAUCCGGGUUGCGGACAGUGUCUGGUGGGUAGUUUGACUGGGGCGGUCUCCUCCUAAAGAGUAACGGAGGAGCACGAAGGUUGGCUAAUCCUGGUCGGACAUCAGGAGGUUAGUGCAAUGGCAUAAGCCAGCUUGACUGCGAGCGUGACGGCGCGAGCAGGUGCGAAAGCAGGUCAUAGUGAUCCGGUGGUUCUGAAUGGAAGGGCCAUCGCUCAACGGAUAAAAGGUACUCCGGGGAUAACAGGCUGAUACCGCCCAAGAGUUCAUAUCGACGGCGGUGUUUGGCACCUCGAUGUCGGCUCAUCACAUCCUGGGGCUGAAGUAGGUCCCAAGGGUAUGGCUGUUCGCCAUUUAAAGUGGUACGCGAGCUGGGUUUAGAACGUCGUGAGACAGUUCGGUCCCUAUCUGCCGUGGGCGCUGGAGAACUGAGGGGGGCUGCUCCUAGUACGAGAGGACCGGAGUGGACGCAUCACUGGUGUUCGGGUUGUCAUGCCAAUGGCACUGCCCGGUAGCUAAAUGCGGAAGAGAUAAGUGCUGAAAGCAUCUAAGCACGAAACUUGCCCCGAGAUGAGUUCUCCCUGACCCUUUAAGGGUCCUGAAGGAACGUUGAAGACGACGACGUUGAUAGGCCGGGUGUGUAAGCGCAGCGAUGCGUUGAGCUAACCGGUACUAAUGAACCGUGAG
rnacentral:rRNA from 1 species